rnacentral:rRNA from 1 species
ACACUCCUGCGGGAGGCAGCAGUAGGGAAUCUUCCACAAUGGGUGCAAACCUGAUGGAGCAAUGCCGCGUGAGUGAAGAAGGUCUUCGGAUCGUAAAGCUCUGUUGUUAGAGAAGAACACGUGCUAGGUAACUACUAGCGCCUUGACGGUAUCUAACCAGAAAGUCACGGCUAACUACGUGCCAGCAGCCGCGGUAAUACGUAGGUGACAAGCGUUGUCCGGAUUUAUUGGGCGUAAAGGGAGCGCAGGCGGUCUGUUUAGUCUAAUGUGAAAGCCCACGGCUUAACCGUGGAACGGCAUUGGAAACUGACAGACUUGAAUGUAGAAGAGGAAAAUGGAAUUCCAAGUGUAGCGGUGGAAUGCGUAGAUAUUUGGAGGAACACCAGUGGCGAAGGCGAUUUUCUGGUCUAACAUUGACGCUGAGGCUCGAAAGCGUGGGGAGCGAACAGGAUUAGAUACCCUUGUAGUCCCAUG